rnacentral:rRNA from 1 species
UACGGAGGGUGCAAGCGUUGUCCGGAAUCACUGGGUGUAAAGGGUGUGUAGGCGGGGCGAUAAGUCUAUGGUGAAAGCCUGCGGCUCAACCGCAGAAUUGCCGUGGAUACUGUCGUUCUUGAGUACCGGAGGGGUCACUGGAAUUCGUGGUGUAGCGGUGAAAUGCGUAGAUAUCACGAGGAACACCGGAGGUGUAGACGGGUGACUGGACGGAGACUGACGCUGAGGCACGAAAGCGUGGGGAGCAAACAGG